CAGGGUACCCUUCGACCCUCCUUAGUUCAACCAAAUGAACUAAAAUUUCAAAAUGGCAUGUAACUUUUCAAAAAUCUAGUUCAUUUGUUUGAACUAAGGAGGGUCGAAGGGUACCCUG
rfam:Brachypodium distachyon strain Bd21 chromosome 4, whole genome shotgun sequence.